UACAGAGGGGGCAAGCGUUGUUCGGAAUUACUGGGCGUAAAGCGUGCGUAGGCGGUUUGUUAAGUCUGUCGUGAAAGCCCCGGGCUCAACCUGGGAAUGGCGAUGGAUACUGGCGAGCUAGAGUACGGUAGAGGAGAGUGGAAUUCCCGGUGUAGCAGUGAAAUGCGUAGAGAUCGGGAGGAACAUCAGUUGCGAAGGCGGCUCUCUGGACCAGUACUGACGCUGAGGCACGAAAGCGUGGGGAGCAAACAGG
rnacentral:rRNA from 1 species